rnacentral:rRNA from 1 species
UACGGGGGGGGCAAGCGUUGUUCGGAAUUACUGGGCGUAAAGGGCUCGUAGGUGGCCAACUAAGUCAGACGUGAAAUCCCUCGGCUUAACCGGGGAACUGCGUCUGAUACUGGAUGGCUUGAGUUUGGGAGAGGGACGCGGAAUUCCAGGUGUAGCGGUGGAAUGCGCAGAUAUCAGGAAGAACACCGGUGGCGAAGGCAGGUCUCUGGGCCGCAACUGACGCUGAGGAGCAAAAGCAUGGGGAGCGAACAGG